AGUAACAAGCUGGUUUAUCAGUAACAAGCUAUACUGAGUUUUGAACUUACCAAGGAGCAACACCAGCAGCUGGGAUGAAGGCACUCACCAUUUGAUCUUGUGACAAACAAGAAAACUGGCAGACUGGAAAUUGUCUACAGUACACAGCCUGCCAGAGGUUCGUGGCAGGAAAGCUGACCUGGUGUGGGUUGUUGUGUUAACUAGACUUGUGAAGCAUCAAGAAAGGUUGUUGUUAUUGGGCACCUUCCUGGAAGAGAUGGAGGCUUUAAGCCUAGGUUUUGCAGUGGAUGAAGAGCCAUUGAAGAUCAGUAGCAACAGGUUGGUAAUUUGCCCAGAUAACUGAGGGAAAUGAGCAUAGGAGAAGUAAGGAGAAAGUGCCUACAAGAAAAGAGAUGAGGGAAACUGUAGCAUGUCAGGGUUUCCCCAGUGUCUCUGAAACUGUGCCCUGCUCUGCCCCUGGGGUACCUUCUCUUCUCACCCCUCCCACACCUUGAUAGAAUAAUAAUAAUAGUAAAAGGGAGGCUGCUGACAGACCUUCACAUGGGCACCAGUCUAGAUGAAACCCCCUACUGGGGUUCCCUGGCACCCUACUGGCCUCUACUGGUCUCAGGCCCCUCUCUGGGUCUCUGGUUGACCCUGCCCUGCAGGGCACCUAAAGCUGUAGGGGCAAUUGUAUGGCUCCAAUCCUUCCCUAUACCAUACCCCAAGUCUCAUGGGUGUUACAGUAACAUUGUUCUCUUCCUGGGGCUUCAGCCUUCUCGGC